AUAUUCUUACAUAUUAGCGUUAAUGCACCAGAUCCCAUUAGAAAUCCGCAGUUAAGAGCAUUCGGGCUAGAGUAGUACUGGGAUGAGUGAUCGCUUGGGAAGUCCUAGUAUUUU
rnacentral:rRNA from 1 species